rnacentral:lncRNA from 1 species
AAAUCAAAUACUACAAGCUUGCUGUAAACGUAAACAAUAUAUCAAGGCUCAUUGGUGGAAAACAAUAAUUCCAUUAGGCGAAUUGAUUACCUGCACAAGGUAUAAAAAGGACCAACAAUUCUACCUCUGCACUACUAGGGAUUACAGGCUCUACCAUGAUACUUUGGCUAAUAAAAGGUGGAGGUGCUUCGACUGGCAUUAUGAGAGGUAAACCUUUGUCAUUAUUUUGUUAUAU